UAACACGUGGGGAACCUGCCCCAUAGUCUGGGAUACCACUUGGAAACAGGUGCUAAUACCGGAUAAGAAAGCAGAUCGCAUGAUCAGCUUUUAAAAGGCGGCGUAAGCUGUCGCUAUGGGAUGGCCCCGCGGUGCAUUAGUUAGUUGGUAAGGUAAAGGCUUACCAAGGCGAUGAUGCAUAGCCGAGUUGAGAGACUGAUCGGCCACAUUGGGACUGAGACACGGCCCAAACUCCUACGGGAGGCAGCAGGC
rnacentral:rRNA from 1 species